rnacentral:tRNA from 1 species
GCGGUUGUGGCGGAACUGGCAGACGCACCAUCUUGAGGGGGUGGCGGGGCAACUCGUGUGGGUUCAAAUCCCACCAACCGCACCA